CUCGCAGCCGUGCCCAUGGGAGCCGGAUGGCACCGAGGCCGCGGCACGGACAGGACCGAGAGCGGCCCCUCCGACCCGCUCCCGGGGUUUUCCAUGGGGAUGGGGGUGCACGGGGCUGCGGGACCCCCCCAUCCCGCUGCCCUGCGGCCGCCCCGGCACGGCCCCGCGGAGCCGGUGACCCCGGACAGGGUUGGCACCGGAACCGGUGUGGUUGGGUACGGCUCAUCCAGAGAGGAGCCUUGAGGGGAGCCCCGGGAAUGACCCAAGUGGUCUGGAUUCAGCCUCAGAAACACACCGGGCGACCCGUGGGAGUGGGGGGCAGCCGCGGCCCUGGGCAGGGUGCUCCAGGGAAGGUGGGAUGGAUGCUCCGGGGGAUGGAUGCAUGCUCCAGGGCAGAAGGGGUACUCUGGAGUGGGAUGGAUGGGUGCUCCAGGGGGGAUGGAUGCUUCAGGUCAGAAGGGAUGCUCUGGGGCAGGACGGAUCCACGGAUGCUCCAGGGCAGGAGGGAUGUGUGGGAAAGAUGGGAUGGAUGCUCUGAGUUGGGAUGGCUGUUCCAGGCUGGAUGGCGGCUCGGGGGCGGGAUGGAUGGAUGCUCCAGGGCAGGAUGGAUGCUCCGGUGGGACCCGCUCCCCCCACACUUCCCGGAUCUGCAGCGCUCCCUCCCCAGAUGUGCAGCAGCUCCACAUCUGCAGCCGCCCACCCGCAGCUCCCGGGUGCCGAGGCCGGAUCCCUGCCUGGACCAGGGCCCGGGGGCUGCCCCGGCUCCAGCCCGGCCUCAUGUCCCAUCCUCAUCACUAUUAUCAUUAAUGAUAUUAACACUAGGGUGAUUUCCAGCACAGGCAGGGGUCUGGCAGCACAGGCAGGAGGCCCCGGCCCUGCUCCUGAUGCUCCUGCUGGAUUCCCUGUCCUCCCAGCUGGGAAUUCUGUAAAUAAAUAGGGAAUAAAACCCAACACACCCCAACAUCCCACCCGUGGGGGUGCCCCGUGUCCCCUCGUGUCCCCCCCCCGGCUGCCCCAUCACCCUGCGCUCAGUGUUGGGUCCUCAUCCCUCGGCCCCAGCCCCUGCCUGGGGUGACCAUGGGGGUCCCAGGGAUGGAGGGAGCCCCCUGCCCACCCUUGGGGUCCCAGCACAGGGUGGGGGUGACGGGGGCCCUCGGAGCAGGGGGGGUCCGACAUGGGAAUAAAAGGCCUUGCA
rnacentral:lncRNA from 1 species